GUAGUGAGGCGAAAUUUUCUUGCACCUGAUGCCGAGGCAAUACUAAAUAUCCCAAUUCGGCUCAAUGGUGGAGAAGAUACCCUAGCAUGGGCUCUUGAAAAGUCCGGCGAAUACACUGUGAAAUCAGCUUACCGUGCUCUGGUGACUCGAGACGAGCUGCGUGCUCUAGAGGAAGGGACGGUAGUGGAAACUUCAGCGUCAGAAAAACAGUUGUGGGCCGCUCUUUGGAAACUCAAGGUCAUACCUAGAGUUCGGGUUUUCUGGUGGAGGGUGCUCCGGGGCAUCCUUCCAGAUUAUGCUACCUUGCACUAUCGUCAUAGCCGUACCACAUCGCUAUGUGAUCUUUGCAAAGCUAUGAACGAGGAUCUGAUGCAUGCCUUGGUCCUUUGUUCUCAUGCUAAGGCCUUCUGGACAGCAGCAAAAGAAGUACUUGGGAUCAAACUUCCAAGGCUACACCUGCAUACAUGGGAGAGGGACUUAGUGGUGGAUACUAUGUUCUCCGAUUCAGAGAGAUGCAAAAUUAUUACUAUCAUGUACUCUAUUUGGACCUCACGGAACAAAUGGACACAUGAUGAGGAAGGGUACAACCCAAUGCAGGCGGUUAAAUGGGCCUGA
rnacentral:rRNA from 1 species